rnacentral:rRNA from 1 species
CCUACGGGUGGCAGCAGUGAGGAAUAUUGGUCAAUGGACGAGAGUCUGAACCAGCCAAGUAGCGUGAAGGAUGACUGCCCUAUGGGUUGUAAACUUCUUUUAUAUGGGAAUAAAACGUUCCACGUGUGGGAUUUUGUAUGUACCAUACGAACAAGGAUCGGCUAACCCCGGGCCAGCAGCCGCGGUAAUACGGAGGAGCCGAGCGUUAUCCUGAUUUAUUGGGUUUAAAGGGAGCGUAGGUGGUUUGUUAAGUCAGGUGUGAAAGUUUGGGGCUAAACCGUAAAAUUGCAGUUGAAACUGGCAGUCUUGAGUACAGUAGAGGUGAGCGGAAUUCGUGGUGUAGCGGUGAAAUGCUUAGAUAUCACGAAGAACUCCGAUUGCGAAGGCAGUUCACUGGACUGCAACUGACGCUGAGGCUCGAAAGUGUGGGUAUCAAACAGGAUUAGAUACCCGUGUAGUC